rnacentral:rRNA from 1 species
AUUGAACGCUGGCGGCAGGCCUAACACAUGCAAGUCGAACGAGUGGCGGACGGGUGAGUAAUGUCUGGGAAACUGCCCGAUGGAGGGGGAUAACUACUGGAAACGGUAGCUAAUACCGCAUACCAUCGGAUGUGCCCAGAUGGGAUUAGCUAGUAGGUGGGGUAACGGCUCACCUAGGCGACGAACCCUAGCUGGUCUGAGAGGAUGACCAGCAACACUGAAACUGUGACACGGUCCAGACUCCUACGGUAGGCAGCAGUAGGGAAUAUUGCACAAUGGGCGCAAGCCUGAGGCAGCCAUGCCGCGUGUAUGAAGAAGGCCUUCGGGUUGUAAAGUACUUUCAGCGAUGAAGCGUUACUCGCAGAAGAAGCACCGGCUAACUCCGUGCCAGCAGCCGCGGUAAUUC